rnacentral:rRNA from 1 species
CAGCAGCCGCCGCGGUAAUACGUAGGGCGCAAGCGUUAUCCGGAAUUAUUGGGCGUAAAGAGCUCGUAGGCGGUUUGUCGCGUCUGCUGUGAAAUCCCGAGGCUCAACCUCGGGCCUGCAGUGGGUACGGGCAGACUAGAGUCCGGAAGAGGCGAGUGGAAUUCCUGGUGUAGCGGUGAAAUGCGCAGAUAUCAGGAGGAACACCAAUGGCGAAGGCAGCUCGCUGGGACGGUACUGACACUGAGACGCGAAAGCGUGGGGAGCAAACAGGAUUAGAUACCCCCGUAGUCCCUGUCUCUUAUAC